GACGAACGCUGGCGGCGUGCCUAAUACAUGCAAGUCGAGCGAAUGGAUUAAGAGCUUGCUCUUAUGAAGUUAGCGGCGGACGGGUGAGUAACACGUGGGUAACCUGCCCAUAAGACUGGGAUAACUCCGGGAAACCGGGGCUAAUACCGGAUAACAUUUUGAACCGCAUGGUUCGAAAUUGAAAGGCGGCUUCGGCUGUCACUUAUGGAUGGACCCGCGUCGCAUUAGCUAGUUGGUGAGGUAACGGCUCACCAAGGCAACGAUGCGUAGCCGACCGGAGAGGGGGAUCGGCCACACUGGGACUGAGACACGGCCCAGACUCCUACGGGAGGCAGCAGUAGGGAAUCUUCCGCGAUGGACGAAAGUCUGACGGAGCAACGCCGCGUGAGUGAUGAAGGCUUUCGGGUCGUAAAACUCUGUUGUUAGGGAAGAACAAGUGCUAGUUGAAUAAGCUGGCACCUUGACGGUACCUAACCAGAAAGCCACGGCUAACUACGUGCCAGCCGCCGCCGUAA
rnacentral:rRNA from 1 species